AACUUUUGUCGGAAAUUCGUCUCCAACAUUGGAGUCUAGCCAAUGAUAGAUAUCCUCAUCCUCUCCUUCUCACUUUCUCUCAUUUUAGGGCGAGUCACCGAAAGAAAGAAAAAAGAAAAAGAAAGGACGACACCAAAGUACCAGUGCUCACCCCUUUUCUCUCGCUGCUCUCUCGAAUUCGCUUGGUGCAGGUCGGGAAUCGCUUCAAAUCCCUCUCUCUAUGCCGGAUCCGAUACGAUCCGAUUCCCCACUUGCAUCAACUGAAUUCGAGAUUCUUCAGCGAAAUCAAAGCCUCUCCUCAGUGCUCUCCCUCUCUCCUCUGUUGGAUCCAACGGCCAAGUUCAAUUGAUAAUCUUCGCUGUCAUGGCAUGGUGGGGGCAAAGGGAAGAUCGGGAAGAAGAUCUGGCGGUUAUGCUUGCUAGCUGGUAUAUAGUCGCUAUGGUCAGAAAGGAAUAUUUGCCACUUUAGGAAUCGAAAAAGAGACCAUGUGGAGGUGUGCAAUUUGGCAAAAGACCCAUGUGAAGGAAUGGGCUCUCGACUCUAUGGCUUCUGCCUUUAGUAAUAAGUUGGGCAGAUUUGUAAUCACUUUUUGCUAUUUUGUCAUUCUUUGGCUUCUGCCUUUAGUAAUAAAUUCAUCAAAGUUACUAUGACAAUGUAGAUUGCAUCAAGGAUAAUAUAAUGAAAUCCAAAGAACCCACAUUCGACAA